rnacentral:rRNA from 1 species
AUGGCAAGAAGCAAGGGCGCCGCCGCCAGGCGAAGGAAGGCCGCCACGGCCAAGAAAGCCAACGCGAACGCGAACGCCGCCAGGACGGUCGAGGCUCCCAAAAAGGCCGUCGUCCCCGGAAAAUGUCCACUCCCGUCGGACGUGCUGGCGGAGAUCCACGAACGCCUGCGGUUCCUCGACCGCAUCCACUUCGCCUCGGUCUUCGCGUCCCGCGACGACGAAAGGUUCAAGCCGUACGCGCCAUGGCUCCUCCUCCCCGGCAAGUCCCCGGAGAAGUUCGAGCUCUUCUCCAUCGCCGAUCGGCGCAGCGCCACCUUCCAGCCCGCCGCGGACCCCGCGUUGCGCGGCCACCUCGUCCUCGGCUCCUCCCGCGGGUGGCUCGCCACGGCCGACGACCGGGGCCAGAUCUACCUCGUCAACCCUCUCAGCGGCACGCAGCUCAGGCUGCCGCACAUGUCCACCAUGGGCCUCUUCCUGCCGAGCACGCAAUACCAGCACUUCUCCCUCGUCAUACCGGACUUUCUGAAAGCCCGAUUCGGCGGGGGUCCGCCGUACGAUCAUGAACUUGGGCCAGUGGGGCACGGCACGUUGACGUACUUCAAAUGCCAGAUGCGCGAGUAUUUUUACCGCAAGGUGGUCCUCUCGACGUCCCCGCGCCCCGGCAGCUACGCCGCCAUGCUUAUCAUGGAGCAUACGAUCGGCGCCCCGGCCUUCGCCACGACGAAGCACCCCGCGUGGAGGCUGGCACCCUCGCGCGAAGGCGUCGAUGACGCCAUCCACCACGACGGCCGGUUCUACUCCGUCUCCUACUCAGGCCUCGUGGAGGCGUGGGAGCGCAACGCGGUGUCCGGCGCGUACACUAGCAGGGCCGUCGCGCCAAGGCUGGCCCUUGGGGAAAACGAAGAUGGCAGCUCGUCGUCGUGCCACAAGUACCUCGCGGCGGCGCCCGGAGGGCGGCUGAUGGUGAUGCUCAAGUACCUCGAGGUGAUCAAGGAGCAGUACGCCAGGGCAGGCGGCCGUGCUCCUUGGCAGUGGAAGGAGGGGACGGACGAAGGGCAGUGGAAGGAGGGGACGGACAUCGGCAACGUCGCGCUGUUCGUCGGGGUGAACAACUCGCUGUGCUUGCCAACCACGGAGCGCCCGCAGAUUGUUGUUGCCGCGCGCUCUCUCAUGUCGGACGGAGGUGGAAGAAGUGACGACGAGCUCGGCAACAGAUCGACGUACGAUGGCGAUGGCGGUCACAGUGAGUCGGAUCUUCAGGCUGUCGGGGUGUACAGCCUGAAGGACGGCACGAUGAAGGAAAUCUGGGAUCUCGGAGAGCAGGUCCGAAACUUUUAUCCGCCGCCGGUUUGGAUAUUACUCGUACCUUCCAAGUAA